AAACAUAGCCUGAAGAACUUAUUUUAGGUGAAGCCUGCCCAGUGCUAGCGAGUAAACGGCCGCAGUACCUUGACUGUGCUAAGGUAGCAUAAUCAGUUGGCUUUUAAAUGGAGUCGGGAAUGAAUGGAUGAAUGGGGUGAAGCUGUCUCUCUUAUAGUUAGUUGAAUUUACUUAUUAGGUGAAAAUGCCUAAAAUUAGAAAAAAGACGAGAAGACCCUAGGAGUUUUAACCAUCUAUUAUUGAAAUAAUAAACGUUUUUGUUGGGGCGACAUGGAAACAAUUUUAAACCUUCCUUUUUGAUACGCCGACUCAGUAUGAAUAAUUAAACUACCCUAGGGAUAACAGCGUAAUUCUUUUAGAGCUUGCGACCUCGAUGUUGGACUAGGAAUUUGGUAGGUUAGCCGCCUAUUUAUAUUGUUCUGUUCGAACUAUUUUUCCUACGUGAUCUGAGUUCAGA
rnacentral:rRNA from 1 species